CCCUUAGAUGUUCUGGGCCGCACGCGCGCUACAAUGAUGCAGGCAACGAGUUCCGCUCCUUAGCCGAAAGGCUUGGGGAAUCUUGAAAACUGCAUCGUGCUAGGGAUAGAUGAUUGCAAUCGUGCAUCUUGAACGAGGAAUGCCUUGUAAGCGUGAGUCAUCAACUCGCGCUGAAUACGUCCCUGCCCUUUGUACACACCGCCCGUCGCUCCUACCGAUUGGAUGGUCCGGUGAACUGGUCGGACUGCUGUUUGAAAUUGCGGGUGCAGUUGAUUCACGGGAAGUCUAGUAAACCUUAUCAUCUAGAGGAAGGAGAAGUCGUANCA
rnacentral:rRNA from 1 species